rnacentral:rRNA from 1 species
AUUGAACGCUGGCGGCAGGCUUAACACAUGCAAGUCGAGCGGGGAAAAGUAGCUUGCUACUGGACCUAGCGGCGGACGGGUGAGUAAUGCUUAGGAAUCUGCCUAUUAGUGGGGGACAACAUCUCGAAAGGGAUGCUAAUACCGCAUACGUCCUACGGGAGAAAGCAGGGGACCUUCGGGCCUUGCGCUAAUAGAUGAGCCUAAGUCGGAUUAGCUAGUUGGUGGGGUAAAGGCCUACCAAGGCGACGAUCUGUAGCGGGUCUGAGAGGAUGAUCCGCCACACUGGGACUGGGACACGGCCCAGACUCCUACGGGAGGCAGCAGUGGGGAAUAUUGGACAAUGGGGGGAACCCUGAUUCAGCCAUGCCGCGUGUGUGAAGAAGGCCUUUUGGUUGUAAAGCACUUUAAGCGAGGAGGAGGCUACCGAGAUUAAUACUCUUGGAUAGUGGACGUUACUCGCAGAAUAAGCACCGGCUAACUCUGUGCCAGCCGCCGCAGUAA